rfam:Schistosoma margrebowiei strain Zambia genome assembly, scaffold: SMRZ_contig0007106
AUCCAACUGACAAGUUCAAAAUAUAACGAAACGCAUGUCCUGGAU